AGAAAAUAUGAUCCUUUCUAAAAUUAGAUUUCCACAAUGCCAACCACCUCAUACAUUUCCAGAAAGGAUCCCCAUUGAUGUGAUGGUGAGAUGUACAGAACAGAAACAGCUACAGUCCUACAAACAGGUGCCUUCCAGUGAACCUGUGUGCCCCUGCUGUGAUCUUCACAGGUACUUCUCACCUUUUUGUCUCUCCCAUCUGAGGUGACACCUGAAAGCUAGAGGGGGCUAGAGUUGGGUAUUUCUUUUCUCCCAGUUCCAUUAGGCUCUGGUAAAAUAGUCUCCUUUAAGGACAGACAUCUGUAAAGGAGAACAUAAGCUCUGAAUGUACUUCAAAUUGGGUCCCCUUUUUCCCCUCCCCCUGCUGGAAGCAUGAAGGGACUGUUCUCCAGUUUUCUCAGGAAGAACCUGGUGAGGUUUCUGGCUGUCCAACUCAUGAAGGAGUGUGGCAGCCCAUCUGCGGCUGAGCCCUUAGGAGGUUUCUUCUCUCAAGCUGGACCAUGUCCAGCACCCAGCUACUAGUCUCUUAGCCUUUAAGUGUUCCUGCUGAUCCUGGCUCCAGCUGAUGGCACCUACUCCCCUUGUAAGUUGUGAUUCUCUAGAUCCACCUGUGUCUCUUCUGCAUUCAAGCCAGCAGUCUGCCCUGUGAUCUCAGUUCUCUGAGAAAGAACUGUUUAUUUUCAGGCUUCUUUUCUUGUUGUGAAUAGGAUGGAAUUGAUGGCUUCCAAACCCUUUGCACAUCAGACCAGUCCAUCUUAUAUUUAUUCUUUUUAGCAAACCGCUUGUUAGCACUUCAAAAGUGACCCAUUCUGAACUCUAUUUCAUUUCUCCCUUGGAAGGGAAGCUGUGGCUUAUAGAUCAGAGGCUAGGAAGUCAGAUUUACAUAGCACAUUCCAUGAUUAUUGUAUUUUCCACUAAGAUCUUGGGAACAUAAUUAACUGAUCUUUUAUAUCAGGGUCUCUUCUACAAAACAAGAAUAAAAUUUUCCUGUAAGAUGUAGAGAACUGUAUGUUCUCUUAUUUGAUAGGUACC
rnacentral:lncRNA from 1 species